GUAGUGAAUAUGGUUUUAAAUGGGCGCUAAGUGAAUGGACAAAUGGGGAGAAGCUUUUUUAAAGAAAAAAUUAGAACUUAAUUUAAAAGUUAAAAAGCUUUUAUAUAUAAAUGGGACAAGAAGACCCUACGAAUCUUUAAUUAUUUGCUUAUAGAGUGAAAUAAGUAGGUAAUUUUAAUUGGGGAAAUUAAAAAAUAAUAAGAAACUUUAUUAUGAAAGUUAGUGUUAAAAACUAUGGGAAAGAUACUCUAGGGAUAACAGCGUAAA
rnacentral:rRNA from 1 species